rnacentral:rRNA from 1 species
GGUCCCUAUCUGCCGUGGGUGUUCGAGACUUGAGAGGAUCUGCCCCUAGUACGAGAGGACCGGGGUGGACGGACCUCUGGUGGACCUGUUGUGGCGCCAGCCGCAUAGCAGGGUAGCUAAGUCCGGCCGGGAUAACCGCUGAAAGCAUCUAAGCGGGAAACCCCCCUCAAAACCAGGUCUCGCUUGAGAGCCGUGGAAGACCACCACGUUGAUAGGCCGGGUGUGGAAGCGCAGUAAUGUGUGAAGCUGACCGGUACUAAUGGCUCGAUUGAUCUUGA